GUGGCGACGGCCCCACGGGAAGUCACAAGGUGGGCAGGGCUGGGAGCGAGCCUCAGAGCCCCAAGCGGAAACCCCUCAGAGGGGCAAGUCAUUUUGACUUUGGGGAGGAGCCAGAAGUCACAAGUGCCGGCUCCAGUGACUGCGGUGGACGAGGACCCAGCGUCGUGUGUUUAGAGCUGCCUGUCGGUUGGAUGGUGAGCGGCAGCAGCAGUCACUGUGUUUUUCAUCACAUCUCACAAAGACCUUCAGGAAAGAGCACUCCCAAGCUGCUGCAGAAAGCGGCCAGGAUGACGGGAUGAGUGUGUCUGAAGCCAGAGGAGGAUUUUGAGGAAAUUCAUGGCAGUGUAACUGUUACUGUAAUGAAUUUCUUUCUUUAAACAUU